UAGGGAAUCUUCCGCAAUGGACGCAAGUCUGACGGAGCAACGCCGCGUGAGUGAAGAAGGAUUUCGGUUCGUAAAACUCUGUUGUUAGAGAAGAACAGCGCAUAGAGUAACUGUUAUGCGUGUGACGGUAUCUAACCAGAAAGCCACGGCUAACUACGUGCCAGCAGCCGCGGUAAUACGUAGGUGGCAAGCGUUGUCCGGAUUUAUUGGGCGUAAAGCGAGCGCAGGCGGUCAAUUAAGUCUGAUGUGAAAGCCCCCGGCUCAACCGGGGAGUGUCAUUGGAAACUGGUUGACUUGAGUACAGAAGAGGAGAGUGGAAUUCCAUGUGUAGCGGUGAAAUGCGUAGAUAUAUGGAGGAACACCAGUGGCGAAGGCGACUCUCUGGUCUGUAACUGACGCUGAGGCUCGAAAGCGUGGGUAGCAAACAGG
rnacentral:rRNA from 1 species